CUACUUCCGGGUUAUGGAGGCUUGUUUAGUUCCAAGCACCACUUCGACAGUGAUAGCCACCGUUCAUUUGCACUGCAGGUUGUUGAGUAUAUGUGGAGUAUCCCGAGAGCCCUCACUGAAGACACGAAGACCCUCAUUGUUUCUCCCAUUGUCAAUAAAACAUACUAUUUCAUUCAUCAAA